CCCGCCCCGCGCCCAGGCCCCGCCCCGCGCCCUGGCAAGAGGGACUAAAGCUGCCACGCGAGUUUAGCCGAGGUUGGGGAGCUGAGUUUCUGUCCCGAAGAUUCAGGCUCCCUUCCGACCCCCAAUGCAGGAGCUGUAGGUCUGAACUCAAGAAGAUGGGUGGACUGAGAAAGCGAGUGGAACCCCUGCGUCCUUUCCCCAGCCGAAAGAAACAGAGACAGGGAUUCAUCCGGCUCGUUGUCUGAAGGGGCCAAGGACCUACCUGGGUGAUCCGCGCUGUGCCCUCUUAAGACUCAGGCGGACCAAAGAGAGUGCCCGAGGCCAGGAGGAAGAAGGCUUUAGCACCUCCCCUGACUUCAUCCUGGCCCUGAGCCACAGGAUCUCCAGCCCUAAUUUCUCAGCUCAGCCUCAAGCUUCCAUAGAACCCCUCCACCUCUUCCCUCGGCCUGUUCUCCAGAAUGGUAUCUGGCUCCUGCUCCGUAAGACAAAUAACGCGGGCGACUGGAAUUUAAGCAGCUUGGAGUGAUAACUACAUAUGGUGAUCACAAGUUCCGAAAUGGUAAUUCUAUGUGCCUGAUUAAUAAAAUUAAAACUAUUAA